CGGGGUAUAGCUCAGUGGUAGAGCGCAUGCUUAGCAUGCAUGAGGUCCUGGGUUCAAUCCCCAGUACCUCCA
rnacentral:tRNA from 1 species